AAUAGCAACGUUGCGAUCCAUUAAGUUUGUUCAAUAUUAUCAUUGAAACUACUUGAAUCUUAUUCGCUAAGAGAGUGUCUGAAUCUCAGUACCCUUCGUUGUAAAUUGUUGAUUUAAGGAACGCAUUAAUCAAGAACAUGCGAUACAAGCGUCGAAUUGCUAGCGACAAUAAACAGCUUUAAAUUUCUAUAUCCGACUAUGACGUCAUGUUUGGGGAUGUGACAUCAUAAUAGUGACGUGCUGUCCACGCAUGCUUGUUGACGAAGAAGCUACAUCUCUCAAAGAUACAAAAGGAAGGGAAUUUUCUCUCGCUUUCUUUCCGGAAUACACUGACGAUCCAACAAAUGACCUUCGAAACAUUCUGUACUUCUCAUCCCCCCUUCGUGGUGUUUGUACUGUGGACUACAACGACGGCACAAGACGUCAGACCAGGGUGAAUGUUGUCGCCAACGAUGUAGUUAAACUGGCUUUAUCUGACGCCACACAACUACCAGCUGGAACAAGAAUAGAACCAAAGGCUAUUUAUGUGAACUGUACAACAGCAAUAGCUCUUUAUGGACACAAUAAGUACAGGAGCGGUGUGGAAACAUCAGACUCAUUCACAGUUCUUCCUGAUGAUACGUUGUCAACGAAUUAUGUCGUUGCAAGUGUCGAAAAAACUGCAAAUCUUGGCGUUGUGGCCACCCAAGAUAACACUAAGGUUUCCGUAACUCUUAAUGCAACAUGUGAAUAUGUGUUUAACAGUGUCCGAUACACAGAUGGAGACAUUGUUAAUGUCACACUGGGCUAUGGUGACGUCUUUCAGAUAGGUUUAGCUUCAUUUUCGAGCUCUGAUAAGUGUGACUUAGGGGGAACCCAAAUCCUUUCUAAUCAUCAAGUCGCAGUGUUUUCAGGUGCUCUGUAUAGCUACAUGCCUAGCUGUUAUAGAAACUCUUAUGGGGGUCACAUGGUUAGUCAAGUUCCCCCAGAGAGCGCUUUUUCAAAUACUCAAAUUAUUCCCAAAGUGGAGGCGAUUGACCUUGGGGCAAUGGUGUUUCGUAUAUUGGCAAAGUAUGACAAUACAGUCGUGAAUAUAACGAAGGAAGAAGUAAAUGGAAAUGUAGUGGCAUGGUCUACAUCACUGAAUACCGCCGAGUUCAAACAAUACUGUUCUCUAUCCAGCGCCAACUUCAUCAUACAAAGCACUCGACCUGUAAUGUGUACCGAGCUUAUUUACUUUAAACGUGAUGGAGGCACAUCGUUGUUUGUACCAGGAACGGUUCUUUAUGACAACAACUACAUUGUAAAGAGUUUAGAUUUGGACGGGGUGAACAAGGAGGGUCCAAUGAUUACUAUUGUAUCUGAGGUGUCAUCAUUCAUGGAUGUUCGUGUAAAUGGUCAACAUCGGGAUGACAUCCAGUGGACUAACCUCUCAACGGCACCUUACACUGUCGGGGCACUGCAGAUACAACCCCAAAGGCCAUAUGUUGUCAACAGUUCAUCGCCAAUUCUAGUCAGGCUUCACGAAGCAUUUGCCCGGGAAUCAUACAGCUACAAUGCAGGAUACCGUCUUCCGUCACUGGCAGAAUCAUUGUUUGGUGCUGUCACCCUCAAAUGCCUACCAGGAGGGUGGUUCGUUACAGUGGACUUCAUGGACUCAAACUUCGACAUCAGUCUCCUCCCCCACAUCUACAUGACCAUGGACAUGUGUGUUGGAACGAUACAGGGACGGCAUCUCAUAUUCAACAUGUCGUACAACGACUGCCACACACAAUCAAGUGUAUCCAAAGGCAUGGUUACCUAUAUGAACGCGGUGAUGUAUGUACAACCAGCGACUGAUCAUAUGGUUCGAGAUGUCAUCUGGAUUCAAGAUAUCAACUGCUCCGAACCAGUGGAUGGCACGGACUCCGUUCACAUUUACCCAUCCUUCCAACACAACCGUACAUGGCUCAAUAUCGGGACAGGUGCAAGGUUCCAGCGUCCAUAUAUCCUUAUACCAAGACGCAUCAUUUAUGCACCUUUCAAACGGCAAUCUGAUUCAGGCUGAGGUUGGAGCACCUGUGUAUGUUCAAGUUGCCUCGCCAGGGACUUCCAAUACAAUAAUGGUGUUACGAUCAUGUGACGCCCACCUUGACAGUGUUCCGGGGAAACAAGCGUCUUAUCCUCUCAUUGCAGAUGGGUGUGCUGUGGAUGGUCAUACUCAGAUCCUCGUGACGCGAAACUCCGUGACCAGGUUUAAGUUUGACAUGUUUGACAUCCCUAAUGAACAGGACGGCAUCUACGUCACUUGUCACGUGACAUUCUGUGACCAGAUGGACUUCUCCGACAAGUGUCAACAGCAGUGUCACAGAAGUCCAAACAUAAUUGGUUAAUGUCUGUAAUGCUAACCAUGAACGUUUAUUGUUCGUGGAACGGAUUUGAAAAAGAUCUUGUUCUUUAAUAAAAAUAUCACUCACUA